UGGUAUUUCUUGUUUUUUGGACUUGGAAUUAAAAGACUAAUAGAUAAAAAUGAGUGUUGAUUAUUUCAUGUGUGUCUUCGUCGAAAUCGGAGAUGACGACGCCCUCGGGAGAAUGUUGUUGGCGACUGGGAUAGGGAAAGACCCUACGAAGAGCUAGCUUUGUCGGAGUUUUUGGAAAAACGCACCAUUGUGGGAGAGGUAGUGGAAGACUGAAGAGGUUGAAUUGUAGUAGUUGAUGGGAAGAAUGAGAAAAAGACCUCCGACGAGUUCUUUAAAUAGAAAAAAUCCGGGUUUAAAAAUUCAAAUACUUAAAUUACAAUGUAAUUAAUACAAAAAACAAAUGAAAAAAAUAAAGAUUUGGAAAAUGAUGUAAAGGUUAUGAAAAUAAAUUACCUGUUAAAUGGAGAAGAUAGCCGGUGUCGGAUCUAG
rnacentral:lncRNA from 1 species